GGAAGGUCCCGCCUGCCCAGUGACAAUAUGGUUCAACGGCCGCGGUAUUUUGACCGUGCAAAGGUAGCGUAAUCACUUGUCUUUUAAAUGAAGACCUGUAUGAAUGGCAUAACGAGGGCUUAACUGUCUCCUCUUUCCAGUCAAUGAAAUUGAUCUCCCCGUGCAGAAGCGGGGAUGAACACAUAAGACGAGAAGACCCUAUGGAGCUUUAGACACCAAAACGGCCCAUGUUAAGCACCCCGCACACAACGGCUCGAACUUAAUGGCCCCCGUCCUAAUGUCUUCGGUUGGGGCGACCAUGGGGUAGCACAAAACCCCCAUGCGGAAUAGGAGAACAACCCAACAUUUUUUCCCCUCCUCCCACAAGCAAGAGUUACAACUCUAACUAACAGAAUUUCUGACCCUAUAUGAUCCGGCUCUCGCCGAUCAACGGACCAAGUUACCCUAGGGAUAACAGCGCAAUCCCCUUUUAGAGCCCAUAUCGACAAGGGGGUUUACGACCUCGAUGUUGGAUCAGGACAUCCUAAUGGUGCAGCCGCUAUUAAGGGUUCGUUUGUUCAACGAUUAAAGUCCUACGUGAUCUGUUUCUCAAACCACGGGGA
rnacentral:rRNA from 1 species